CUGUGGUGAUUGAUACGAUGUUUGUAUGUUAGAAGCAGGCCUGGUAGAGAAUUCUGAAUGUUGGAAUUUUGCUCUAAUGCUUAUUUGCCUAAAAAAACCUACAAAACAAACUAGACCCAAGACUGAGCAAUCAACCGUUUUGUGACAGGAAGGACCCCAAGACCCUAAGUUCUCCUACGUCAUUUGACAACCCUAGAGUACCUAGCUAACCUAAUGCCUGAAGAAUCCGCCGCUUUUCCAUAGAAAAGGCAUCAACUUAUUCUUCUUGACCCACCUUCCGAAUCUCUCAAUAAAUUGCCGAAAAACAUAACCACACACUCCUAACCAGUGACCACACUCAAACGACCACACCUCCCUCUCUCCAAUACCAUCGCCACCGUUGGAUUUCAUCACCGGCUAGCCGGAAAAUGUGAUUCAAACCACCCACUUCCCCUCCUCCCUUCAUCCGUCUCCUUCACCCUAAACUAGUUGCCGUCGCAACUCCACCAAAGAACAAAGCCAACUCUCUGGAACCCUCACCUCAUCUAGCUUCCAAGAAAGAAUUCGACCAACAGAAAUCAGAUCAAAUGGCGAAACAUUGCAGCGUCUCGCUCUCCGUCCAGAGAUCUAUUUCCUACUCUUUUCGUGACUUCUCUCUCUUUGUUGCCGUUAUUGUUUGAGUCCAUUUUGAAGCUCGUUCGGUGAGUUUGUUCAAAGUUGAGCGUUGAAGACGUUCGAGGUCAUUGAGUCUUUGUUCCGUUUGCGAUUAUUUUACGGUUACGCAAACAAAUAGAGGGAUUUCCCUGACAAGGGAUGAGCACAAAAGUGUGGCCGAAUUGGCUCAAGAAUUGCAACGUCUUUAUGUGGAUGAACCUGUAAAAUGUGCUCGAAUAUUCAGAGGUAAACUUUAGUGUUAUUUUUUAGUAGAAACAGAGUUCCGUUAAACUCUCUAUGUGCCCUUGCAGAUUAAUAUCUCCUUGAUCUUUUUCCUAUUUCCCCUCUUUGGACAUAUAUUAAUUAUCAGAAGUAAUUUUCUUUGUUAACCUAGCAUGUCUGGCCUAGUUAUUUUUCCUCAUAAGUACAGUAUCCCUAUUUCUUGUUAAGCACCAAGUGCACCAUUCUUCUGAACAAGUUCCUGCCAAUUCCUUCUGUUUGGUUUAGAGAAAGUUGUGCAUUCAAAUUAACAUACUCAACAGAUGAUCUAGAUUUUUCACUUAAUAAGUCUGCAGAAUAUGAUCACUGACGAAAUACUGUGUUAUAAUGCAUGAUUUUGUAUACCCUAGAACAAAAUGCACCAAAAUAGUGAAUAACCUCUGUAGUUAUAUGUUAUCUAACUUGAAAACAUCGGCAAUCUAGCACCAGUUAAGGAAGUUGGAUGAUCAUGUUGCCUAUUUACACAGAGCAUCAAAUGUUUAGUUUGAUAAGUAAAAUAACUUUUUUUAAUUACCUAGGUAGGCACGAUUUUAAUUAACCAAAUAAUUGUAAUUGUGUACACCUUCGCGUGACAUAAUUACGAUUUCUAAAAAAUAAAUCGAGGUAUGCGUUCGCGCAACUUCGGCUAAAACUUUCUUAAUAAAAAUCAAGCGUUAUUAAUUGUGGACACGUUCGCGUGACAUGAUUUUUGACGCACCAAACAAAUGGGUACACGUGCGCGUGACUUGUUUAAAGAUAUUUUCUUAAUUAAAAGAGGCAAAUGCACAUAAGUUCUAAAAUGAUUAAUUAGACAAUUUAAUAAGCCAAGUAUGAUCAAAGCGACCGUGCUAAAACCACGGAACCCGGGAACGCCUAACACCUUCUCUCGGGUUAACAGAAUUCCUUAUUCGGAUUUCUGUGUUCGCAUACCAUAAAUAGAGUCAACUUCCUUGAUUCAGGAUUUUAACUGGUGACUUGGGACACCAUAAAUUAUCCCAAGUGGCGGCUCUGAUUUUUAUAUAAAUAAUUCUAUUUCGAUUGUCACUUAAACUAGAAAAACUCCCUUAUUCCUCUUUCGGGGGUGGUAAAAAGGAGGUGUAACAGCUCUGGCGACUCUGCUGAGGAUGAGAACCCAGAACUUCUGGUUCAGGGUUCAAGAAUUCGAGCUUGUUAAUAUGUUUUUUACUUGGCUUCAUUUAUUAUUAAUAUUACUGUAUUUUGUGAACCUUUUGUGCUAAUUGCUGUCUAUUUACCGUUUUGAUAUUAUUUGGAUUGUAUAUAACUGUCUUCUUAUGCCACCCCUCUGAGUCUUCUAAAAAUGGUGCACACAUUUGCGUGGCCCACUUUUUUUGUAGAAGUUAUACCAAAUAGAAUGAGGCUAGGCCAGCAACAAGGCCGGGUAGACUUUAGUGCUCCCGGUACAUUACCCCCUCAUUUGCUCGAGUUGUCCGCUCGGGUAAGCCUGGUCAAUAACACAACCCUAAGUUUAAACUUAGAAUAACAUAACCUCACGUCAGAUCCCUAUUAGGAACGUUUGUUUGCAUCAUGCGAAUUUGACUUUGGGGACUCAACACAGGGGUUGGGUCCGUCUAGGAUAGGUGUACCCAAAAUAACAGACAAUCUCGAUGCAUCCUAUGUGCUACAUGUUGUAUUUCUUCAAGGGUAAAAGGGUCAUUUGACGAACCAAUGAUGGUUGAGGGUAAAUGAGAAAGAAAAGAGGGUGAAGUGUGAAAAUAAAGCAAGUAGGGCCCAGUUAUAAUUUUCUUUCACGCUUUUUCAAGAAAAGACCAAAAAAAUGAAAAAAUCCAAUUUUUUUUUGAACUUUCCCAUUAUUUUUUAGGAAAAGAAAAUUCAAAAAGAAUUUACAUGUUUCAUCAUUUUUUUUAAAAAAAAGACAAAAAAUAUAUUUUUCUCUAAAUUAGUUGUUUUUUUAACUCUCGCCCGUAUCCAAUCUGCCCGAACUACACAUACCUGAUUCUCGUCUUUUGGGGCGUGAUACGUAGGCAACCCAUAUAGGGUCCGGUCUUUCUAGUGAAUCUUAGGUUCUUGGCUUUGCGGGGUCUUAGCCAAAUUUUGCACUUCCAGCCCCAUUUUGGCCACAUAAGUUAUUUUGCAAAAAUAGUCUCAAUCAUGUCUUGCAUGCAUCCAAUAGGGAAUGUUAUUUUCUCACAUAGUUUUCUAGGUCUUUAACUAUAUUUGGUCUUAAUUUUCUCAUACAGGUGUGGAUUUACUUACCGGAGUUUGAGCAUGAUAGACGCCCCAGGACCAUCUAGUCAGGAUCGCUCGAUCAGAAGUGGCUUAAGGAGAUUUUUUAAUUUUUUAUGUUUUAAGUUUGUUUUUAUUUUUUCGUCGUCUUUCACUUUCUAGUUUUGUACAUUAAUGUCGAGUAUUCCGUUAUGUAUUUCCUAUUUUGUAUCAGAAAUAAGAUGUGUGAUAAAUCAAAAAUCCAAAAAAAAGAAGAGAUUUUGCGUUUUUAUAUUUCUGUUAGAUGUUUUCUUUAGAAUACUAACUCUAGAAGUUCAAAAAAAAAUCUUU
rnacentral:lncRNA from 1 species